AUUGAACGCCGGCGGCAUGCUUUACACAUGCAAGUCGAACGGCAGCGCGGGGGCAACCCUGGCGGCGAGUGGCGAACGGGUGAGUAAUGCAUCGGAACGUAUCCUGUAAUGGGGGGAUAACGUAGCGAAAGUUACGCUAAUACCGCAUACGCUCGAGAGAGGAAAGUGGGGGAUCGCAAGACCUCACGUUAUAGGAGCGGCCGAUGUCCGAUUAGCUAGUUGGUGGGGUAAAGGCCUACCAAGGCGACGAUCGGUAGCUGGUCUGAGAGGAUGAUCAGCCACACUGGGACUGAGACACGGCCCAGACUCCUACGGGAGGCAGCAGUGGGGAAUUUUGGACAAUGGGCGAAAGCCUGAUCCAGCCAUGCCGCGUGCGGGAAGAAGGCCUCGGUUGUAA
rnacentral:rRNA from 1 species